AUUGAACGCUGGCGGCAUGCUUUACACAUGCAAGUCGAACGGUAACAGGUUAAGCUGACGAGUGGCGAACGGGUGAGUAAUGCAUCGGAACGUGCCCGGUCGUGGGGGAUAACGCAGCGGAAGCUGCGCUAAUACCGCAUACGAUCUGAGGAUGAAAGCGGGGGACCGUAAGGCCUCGCGCGAUCGGAGCGGCCGAUGUCAGAUUAGGUAGUUGGUGGGGUAAAGGCUCACCAAGCCGACGAUCUGUGGCUGGUCUGAGAGGACGACCAGCCACACUGGGACUGAGACACGGCCCAGACUCCGACGGGAGGCAGCAGUGGGGAAUUUUGGACAAUGGGCGCAAGCCUGAUCCAGCAAUGCCGCGUGCAGGAAGAAGGCCUUCGGGUUGUAAAGCUCUUUCGGCCGGGAAGAAAUCGCACAGGCUAAUACCUUGUGUGGAUGACGGUACCGGAAUAAGAAGCACCGGCUAACUACGUGCCAGCAGCCGCGGUAA
rnacentral:rRNA from 1 species